GACGAACGCUGGCGGCGUGCCUAAUACAUGCAAGUAGAACGCUGAAGAGAGGAGCUUGCUCUUCUUGGAUGAGUUGCGAACGGGUGAGUAACGCGUAGGUAACCUGCCUUGUAGCGGGGGAUAACUAUUGGAAACGAUAGCUAAUACCGCAUAACAAUGGAUGACACAUGUCAUUUAUUUGAAAGGGGCAAUUGCUCCACUACAAGAUGGACCUGCGUUGUAUUAGCUAGUAGGUGAGGUAACGGCUCACCUAGGCGACGAUACAUAGCCGACCUGAGAGGGUGAUCGGCCACACUGGGACUGAGACACGGCCCAGACUCCUACGGGAGGCAGCAGUAGGGAAUCUUCGGCAAUGGGGGCAACCCUGACCGAGCAACGCCGCGUGAGUGAAGAAGGUUUUCGGAUCGUAAAGCUCUGUUGUAAGUCAAGAACGAGUGUGAGAGUGGAAAGUUCACACUGUGACGGUAGCUUACCAGAAAGGGACGGCUAACUACGUGCCAGCAGCCGCGGUAAUACGUAGGUCCCGAGCGUUGUCCGGAUUUAUUGGGCGUAAAGCGAGCGCAGGCGGUUUGAUAGUCUGAAGUUAAGGCUGUGGCUCAACCAUAGUUCGCUUUGGAAACUGUCAAACUUGAGUGCAGAAGGGGAGAGUGGAAUUCCAUGUGUAGCGGUGAAAUGCGUAGAUAUAUGGAGGAACACCGGUGGCGAAAGCGGCUCUCUGGUCUGUAACUGACGCUGAGGCUCGAAAGCGUGGGGAGCGAACAGGAUUAGAUACCCUGGUAGUCCACGCCGUAAACGAUGAGUGCUAGGUGUUGGAUCCUUUCCGGGAUUCAGUGCCGCAGCUAACGCAUUAAGCACUCCGCCUGGGGAGUACGACCGCAAGGUUGAAACUCAAAGGAAUUGACGGGGGCCCGCACAAGCGGUGGAGCAUGUGGUUUAAUUCGAAGCAACGCGAAGAACCUUACCAGGUCUUGACAUCCCGAUGCUAUUUCUAGAGAUAGAAAGUUACUUCGGUACAUCGGUGACAGGUGGUGCAUGGUUGUCGUCAGCUCGUGUCGUGAGAUGUUGGGUUAAGUCCCGCAACGAGCGCAACCCCUAUUGUUAGUUGCCAUCAUUCAGUUGGGCACUCUAGCGAGACUGCCGGUAAUAAACCGGAGGAAGGUGGGGAUGACGUCAAAUCAUCAUGCCCCUUAUGACCUGGGCUACACACGUGCUACAAUGGUUGGUACAACGAGUUGCGAGUCGGUGACGGCAAGCUAAUCUCUUAAAGCCAAUCUCAGUUCGGAUUGUAGGCUGCAACUCGCCUACAUGAAGUCGGAAUCGCUAGUAAUCGCGGAUCAGCACGCCGCGGUGAAUACGUUCCCGGGCCU
rnacentral:rRNA from 1 species